rnacentral:rRNA from 1 species
ACUAAGGGUGAGCACGCAGCGGCGGUAAGACGGAGGGGGUAAGCGUUGGCGGGAAUGAUGUGGCGGAAAGAGCGCGUAGGCGGUCUGUUACGUCUGCUGUGAAAACCCGGGGCUUAACCCUGGGCUUGCAGUGGGUACGGGCAGACUAGAGGCAGGUAGGGGAGAAUGGAAUUCCCGGUGGAGCGGUGAAAUGCGCAGAUAUCGGGAGGAACACCGGUGGCGAAGGCGGUUCUCUGGGCCUGACCUGACGCUGAGGAGCGAAAGCGUGGGGAGCGAACAGGAUUAGAUACCCUAGUAGUC